GGGCCCGCACAAGCGGUGGAGCAUGUGGUUUAAUUCGACGCAACGCGAAGAACCUUACCUGGGCUCGAACGGCUGAUCAACGACUGUGGAAACACGGUUACUCCGCAAGGGGGUUCAGUCGAGGUGCUGCAUGGCUGUCGUCAGCUCGUGUCGUGAGAUGUUGGGUUAAGUCCCGCAACGAGCGCAACCCUUGCCCUGUGUUGCCAUCAUUCAGUUGGGAACUCUCAGGGGACCGCCAGCGAUAAGUUGGAGGAAGGUGGGGAUGACGUCAAGUCAUCAUGGCCUUUAUGUCCAGGGCUACACACGUGCUACAAUGGCCGGUACAAUACGACGCUAACCCGCGAGGGGGAGCAAAUCGGAAAAAACCGGUCUCAGUUCGGAUCGCAGGCUGCAACUCGCCUGCGUGAAGCUGGAAUCGCUAGUAAUGCCGGAUCAGCAUGCCGGCGUGAAUACGUUCCCGGGCCUU
rnacentral:rRNA from 1 species